rnacentral:lncRNA from 1 species
AUUUUGAUGAGUUUAGUAGUUUACAAAACCGUUUCGUAGUGGACAAAUUGUGUCGUAAUUGAUAUCAACUCAAUAUUAAAUUGAUAAAAACAUACUGAAAAUUACAUGGUACUAACCCUUGUUAAUUGUUUUGUACAAAUAUAAUUGAAAAAUGAGUAUACAAAACGACUGCAUGCCAUGGUAGUUGUAGUGUCCCGGCACUACGAAACGAUUUUCUCCCGCAAACCGAAUAAGGAAAUAGAAAUCCAAAUAAGGAAAUAGAAACCGAAUAAGGAAAAAGUAACCGAAUAAGGAAAUGAAAAUCGAAUAAGGGAAAAGAAAAUAAACUCAUCAAAAUGUUUUUCUCCCGCAAACCGAAUGAGGAAAUAGAAAUUUAAAUAAGGAAAUAGAAACCGAAUAAGGAAAAAGUAACUGAAUAAGGAAAUGAAAAUCGAAAAUAAGGAAAAAGAAACCGAAUAAGGAAAUGAAAAUCAAAUAAGGAAAUAGAAACCGAAUAAGGAAAAAGAAACUGAAUAAGGAAAUGAAAAUCAAAUAAGGAAAUGAAAAUCGAAUAAGGAAAUAGAAACCGAAUAAGGAAAAAGGAAACAGAAUAAGGAAAUAGAAACCGAAUAAGGAAAAAGAAACCGAAUAAGGAAAUGAAAAUCGAAUUAGGAAAUAGAAACCGAAUAAGGAAAAAGAAACCGAAUAAGGAAAUGAAAAUCAAAAAAGGAAAUAGAAACCGAAUAAGGAAAUGAAAAUCGAAAAAGGAAAUAGAAAACGAAUAAGGAAAUGAAAAUCGGAAAAGGAAAUAGAAACCGAAUAAGGAAAUAAAAAUCGAAUAAGGAAAUAGAAACCGAAUAAGAAAAAAGAAACCGAAUAAGGAAAUGAAAAUCAAAAAAGGAAAUAGAAACCGAAUAAGGGAAUGAAAAUCGAAUAAGGAAAAAGAAACUGAAUAAGGAAAUGAAAAUUGAAAAAGGAAAAAGAAACCGAAGAAGAAAAUGAAAAUUGAAUAAAGAAAAAGAAACUGAAUAAGGAAAUGAAAAUCGAAUAAGGUAAUAGAAACCGAAUAAGGAAAAAGAAACCGAAUAAGGAAAUGAAAAUCAAAAAAGGAAAUAGAAAACGAAUAAGGAAAUGAAAAUUGAAAAAGGAAAUAGAAAACGAAUAAGGAAAUGAAAUCGAAAAAGGAAAUAGAAACCGAAUAAGGAAAUGAAAAUCGAAAAAGGAAAUAGAAAACGAAUAAGGAAACGAAAAAAAUGAGGAAAAAAAAUUUUGAGGAAAAUAUUUUUGAGGAAAAAAUUUUUGAGGAAAAAAAAAAUUUGAGGAAAAAAAAUUUUGUGAAAAAA